UUUUUAGCUGAAAAAUUCUCCUUGAACUCUGAAAACCCAUUUAAUUCUACAUAGAGGUAGAAGACUAGAGUUUUGAUAUUUGGAGGAACUGAAUGUUGAAGAUGGUUGAAAAUUCAGACAGUUUCAGCUUUAAAGGCCAUUACAAACAUCUCCUCUGCAAUGUACUCCUCUGCAUCAUAUGGGUGUCAGAGAAUCAGACCAGGCAAAACUCCCAUUAAAGUAAAUGAAAGUUGUGCCUGUGUAAAGGCAUCUGUAACCCAAUAAAGGUGAAAUGAGAGCCACUCUUUCAUCACUUUAUUAGCAGAAGCAAGAGUUGUCCUGCAGAAUGCAUCUUAAAAAACAAAACAAAACAAAACAAAAAAACUCAGAACAUACCAGCUAAUCAAGAAUAGGACAAUGUGUAUUUAUUGCUUAUCUUUACCAGACAAUGUACCAUUAACAAUCCAGAGUUUUGUCACUUGGAGACAUCCAACAUCUUUAUCAGUAAAGCCUGUACUCUUCUGCUUACUCAUGAGGCCUGCUCUGCCUAUGACUUCACUACAAGUUGCAGACACUUAGCUGGACUUUUGACACUUGAUGGCUCUUUAUAAAUGUAAUGAAUAGGUCUUGGCAAAUUUCUUGUGGAAACUAUUUCAAGAACAGGUAAGCAAAAAAGAAAAGGACAUGGAUUCAAGAAAGAGAAGGAAGACAGAGGUUACAGAAAUAAGAAAUUUCCACAGAAAAGAUAAAACUCUUCUUUCUCUUAAAAGAAACAUUUGAAAAUGAGAUUUUGCUAAAAAUACUACUGACAGCAUACAAAGGAACCUGCUGUCUCAUGCUAAGCUGCAGCAGAAUGUUCUGAACCCCAUGACCAAUAAAAACUUCUCUCUUUUGAUUCUUCCAUGGGUUCUUGUUUUGAAUAGUCACUGAUACUGUCAUAUUCCCCUUCUAAAAAUGUCACAGGGACUCUUGGAAGAAAAGCAUUCAAGUUCAUCUUCAUACUAAGCAAUGACAGUUCUUACAUUGGGAACCCUUCGUGGUACCUUGGUAUCUCUGUGAUUAUUGUGAUGUCUAUGCCAUUAAUGUUAUACUGUUUUUAGAGAUGAAUAUAAUAGAACAUAUAAAUCAAGUAGAAUAGCUUUGGGAAUUUUAAAUAAAUAAACACAUAAACCUGGGGAACUGCUGAAUUAGCUAAAAUAAAACACAAAUCAAAUUAGGAGUACAAUUCUCUAGAGGACAACUGAGGUCAAUCUGUUCUGUUUCCCAUGGUUAAAAUAAUGAGUUAAUACAGAACAGUCUAUGUGAGAUGUAUUUCAUAUGCAACCACACAUCACAUAAAAACAACAACAAAAAUGCAGUUAUCCAGAAGCCUUUUAUGAACUUCAUGUAGAUAACAAAUGAUCAAAAUCCAUGACUGUAUUGACAUGAAAUUAUGGAGAAGGCGAGAUCUCUUAUCAGUCGUUAACUAACAUCAGUGCCUUUCCUAAAUGAGAAGAAAGGCAAUUUUAUUUGCAGAAAUUCCUAGAUGAU